GAUGAACGCUGGCGGCGUGCUUAACACAUGCAAGUCGAACGAGAAGUGGAGACGGAAACCUUCGGGCGGAAGACUUUAUUUCGAGUGGCGGCCGGGUGAGUAACGCGUGGGUAACCUGCCUCAUACAGGGGGAUAACAGUUGGAAACGACUGUUAAUACCGCAUAAGACCACAGCACCGCAUGGUGCGGGGGUAAAAACUCCGGUGGUAUGAGAUGGACCCGCGUUCGAUUAGCCAGUUGGCGGGGUAACGGCCCACCACAGCGACGAUCGAUAGCCGAUCUGAGAGGAUGACCGGCCACAUUGGGACUGAGACACGGCCCAAACUCCUACGGGAGGCAGCAGUGGGGAAUAGUGCACAAUGGGGGGAACCCUGAUGCAGCGACGCCGCGUGAGUGAAGAAGUAUGUCGGUAUGUAAAGCUCUAUCAGCAGGGAAGAAAAUGACGGUACCUGAGUAAGAAGCCCCGGCUAACUACGUG
rnacentral:rRNA from 1 species